GGAGGGAUGGCUGAGUGGCUUAAGGC
rnacentral:sRNA from 1 species